rnacentral:rRNA from 1 species
UGGCGGACGGGUGAGUAACGCGUGGGUAACCUGCCUCAUACAGGGGGAUAACAGUUAGAAAUGACUGCUAAUACCGCAUAAGACCACAGCACCGCAUGGUGCAGGGGUAAAAACUCCGGUGGUAUGAGAUGGACCCGCGUCCGAUUAGGUAGUUGGUGGGGUAACGGCCUACCAAGCCGACGAUCAGUAGCCGACCUGAGAGGGUGACCGGCCACAUUGGGACUGAGACACGGCCCAA